GCAUUUUCUUGUUUCUGUGGAUGUAAUCUAAUGGACAAAUUAACAGAAACCUGACAGAAGAUCAUAUACAAUUCAAGAAAAAGUUCUACUUGUUGAAUUUUCUAAUUGUAGCUGUAUUAUGUGUUCAAUAGAAUUGCUAAAUAUUUAGCAACAGAUAGGCUAUACCACAAAUGCCAUGUUCCAUCUGAUCCAGUUUGGAGUACAAUAAAUUUGUCCUCGGCGCCAGUUAGGUAUUAAUUAAUCCAUCAAUCGGCUAGAAAUUUAGACCCAGAAACAGGUAAACAAACAACAUGGAUGAAGACGUAAGAAAAAGGACGGACUAUAUGUAUAAACGGCGUAAAUGUGUUUGAAAAGGAGUGGUGGAAAGAUCGGAAAACAUUGAAUUCUUUCAUCCAUAACCCAGCCCAGGCUCUACUGUAUUAUAGGCAAACAAGAAGUGAAAGCAAGAAUUUCAUUAUUUUAAGCCAUGAACUCAAUCAAAAUUGCGGAAGACAGUGAGUUUCUCUUUGAUCAAAGAGGUGAGCGUAAGACAUCGAUUGACAAGAAGCUGGAAAAGACUAAUGAACGUUCUGUAAAACGAAAACAAAGAGCUGACGAAUUAAGAGAAAAUACCGCUAAAAGUAAUGCUUCAAUUUCGGUAGUGUUAAGUCAAGAACUAGAACUCGAUUUCAGCUUCAGUAGCACUUCUACUGCCGAUAGCACUUUGAAAAAUAAGCGAGAUGAUUAUUUAGUGGUUGUUUUACCAUCAAAGACUCUUUCUUGCAAUUAUCUCUCGAGACUUGGGGUGACAAUGUUGAUUACCUACAAGACAAAGUUGCGUAAGAAAUUUGGGCGUGGUUAACGACACUGAUAAGAGGGGUGUAAAACUAUUUGAAGAUUGCAAUACGAUACUCACUAAGAACGAGGAAGAAAAAGAAUUCUAACUUUCUGUCGUUGAAAAGAACAGAAAGAUCGUUUCUACUGAAACAUCCAAAAAUUGCUAAUGAACUUAGUUUUUGGUUGAGCAAAAAAAACUGUAAUUAAUAUUAUUUUAAGUAUUGUUUUGUUUAUAACAUUUUGUGUGUGU